CGGGAGGCAGCAGUGGGGAAUAUUGCACAAUGGGCGCAAGCCUGAUGCAGCCAUGCCGCGUGUGUGAAGAAGGCCUUCGGGUUGUAAAGCACUUUCAGUCGUGAGGAAGGUAGUGUAGUUAAUAGCUGCAUUAUUUGACGUUAGCGACAGAAGAAGCACCGGCUAACUCCGUGCCAGCAGCCGCGGUAAUACGGAGGGUGCGAGCGUUAAUCGGAAUUACUGGGCGUAAAGCGCAUGCAGGUGGUUUGUUAAGUCAGAUGUGAAAGCCCGGGGCUCAACCUCGGAAUUGCAUUUGAAACUGGCAGACUAGAGUACUGUAGAGGGGGGUAGAAUUUCAGGUGUAGCGGUGAAAUGCGUAGAGAUCUGAAGGAAUACCGGUGGCGAAGGCGGCCCCCUGGACAGAUACUGACACUCAGAUGCGAAAGCGUGGGGAGCAAACAGGAUUAGAUACCCUGGUAGUCCACGCCGUAAACGAUGUC
rnacentral:rRNA from 1 species